UUUUUGGAUAUCACCCUCGACAACUAUUAUCGUGCAGACAAAAACAUCCUCUCUGCCUUACGAACUUUCAUAUCACCUUCAAGGAAUCAUCGGUCCAACAUGAACCUUUUCCUCGUCAAACGAUGUUGUUUCCAAUAUAGGCUCUACCACCGUCUCUUUUUGAUCUUUUCUCUCUCAAUCCGUCAAGCCCUCUUCAUCCACGAUCACUUCUACCAACCAUUCCGACCUGCAACAGAGUCCGACGAAAAAACCCCAGCUUCAAUCCAUUCAAAACUAGCUAAAAAGAAGCUCUCAUAUGAAUCUAGGGUUUCUGAGAAAACAAAUCAGGGUUUUCCUUUGAAGUAAAGCCACAUCGUCAUUCCUCGACGAAAAUUAAGGAGCCCUCACACACACAAGGAACGUUUUUCUGACCUCAUUCGCCGAUGACUUCAAGCCCUCACACAAUUUGUAAAUCAUGUUGCAUGUAUUACAAGAUUGGAUAAUAUUUUGCUAAGCUAUAAGUGAAUAUUAGUAGGAUUUAUUUGGGCUAGAUGACUUAGAUUCAUGGGAAUUUUGUUGCUAAUGAUUUGAUGCUAGAACUGCAAGCUAGAAAAUAGAGAGAGGCAGCUCUGGAGGCUGCUUGGAAGAAGCAAUAGAACAUGAAAUUGAUCCUAAAAGAGACCAAAGAACUAUUUUUUCUCAUCAGUUGUGUAGGUUCUUCAAAGCAUUUUUGUCAACCAGGAUUUAAACAUGUCUUAAGAGGAAAUAGGUAAGCCACUGCAUGCUCGUACGUCGAAUUUGAACGAAGAACUUGGUCAAGUUGAUACCAUAAUUUAAUUCCUAGGUAUAAAUCAUUGUAACAAACACAAGCAGGAUACAUAUAAAUCAAUUUUGUGUUUAAUUCCUAGGUAUAAAUCAUUGUACUUGAUGUGUAUGGAAUUACUAGGGAACAUGUCGCAAGUCAUCUGAAGGUAUAAAUCAUUGUUCUUGACAAAUCUUGAUCAUUCUUGAUGAUUCUUGAUGAAUAUUUUCCCAUCUGCAUACAUAUAUUCUUGAUGAUUUGAAUGUAGCUUUUUGAUAUUUGCACACCAAUAGAAUGAUUUUAUAUACAGCAAAUAAAUAAAAAAGCGUACCAUAUAUUGGCACUUUCUUUGAAAGUGCUAUCAAACAUGAGUCAUAUAUUAGCGCUUUCUUUGAAAGUGCUAUCAAACAUGAGCCAUAUAUUAGCGCUUUCUUUGAAAGUGCUAUCAAACAUUAGUCAUAUAUUAGCGCUUUCUUUAAAAGGGCUAUCAAACAUGAGUUAUAUAUUAGCGCUCUUUUUGAAAGUGCUAUCAAACAUGUGCCCUUUAAUAGCACUUAGUUUGAAAGUGCUGUCAAAAUCAAAUUAUAACACACGCAAAAUGCAUACUUCAAUAGCGUUUUAGAAAAAACGCUAUUAAAAACUGGUACUUUAAUAGCGUUUUUAAAGUGCUAUUAAACAAAAAACAUUUACAAUAGCGGCGCGGUUAAUAGCACUUUUAAGCGCUAUCAAAAACAAAAAAAAGUGCUAUCAAAUAGCUUAUUUGGCGUAGUUAGCAUCGGGUAGCGACUAGUUCUUAACAUUUGUCAAGAGUUGUCCCCCCACUACGUUCCUAAAGGCCAGGAUGGGUUAAGGGUAACUAAAGGUCCUUGAGCUCUAGAGCACUCACAGACAUAUACAUAGAUCUCCCUCAUUUGAGAAAGGUGUGCAUAUGCUAUGGAGUCCUAACUCAAGUGUGAACUUCAUAUUGACUCAUCUCCCACAUAUGUGAAAGAGGUCGCCACGACUAUGCCACUCCUAAUCUUAAGUGUUCUUGAAUCUGGGAAUAGGAUUCGUCCUUUAUUUAAUUCCCAAAACGCCCCUGAAAAAUAGAAAAAACAAAGCAAACAAUAGAAAACAUUUAAGUGAAUCCUAAACUUUUAAGGUAACCCCUCUUUUAUACGAAAAUACCCCAGCAGAGUCGCCAGUUCUGUAAUACGGUGAACUGACUUUAUCGAAAUGUCGCGGUAAGCAAGAGUCGCCACCGACUUUUAUUUUAUCCAAAUAUCGGAAAGGCUAAAAGAACAGGAAAAACCUUUUAAAUAAAAACAGGGUUCGGGGGGUAAUUAUGCAAAGGGAAGGUGUAAGGCACCCUUUGCAUCCAUGGUUUUCCAUGGUGUCAUACCCUAAUUUUUGACCCCCCUGAGAUGACAUAUCUUCAAGAUUUUCAUCAAGUCAAAGCAAGUACCCAGAGCAGCCUGACAUUCAAUCGAGGGUGUUCAAAGACAAGAAAACUCAGGCAAAGGAUCAAUCAAUAGAGGGAUUAGUCUCUAAUACAAUCAUAAGACUCAAAAGCCUCAUUAUUACACCUAUGAUUGAUUAAGAUACCCAGUCAUCUAAGCACAAGAUUACUCAGAUCAACAGACUAGGGUUUGGAGCCUAUCAAGGACUAAAAUCAGGGAUCACCUUUGGGAAACCCUAAAAAGCCCCAAGAGACCAUUCAAAGACAUUAAUCAUCUUCAAAUAACUCUUAUGACAAGAUCCACUGGACAUUACACCUCAAUUCAAAGUCUACAGUCAUCAUUGUCCUCUGGUCGACAAUUAGGGUUUUUGACCUAAUUCACCAAGAUAGUUGACUUUUAAUCAGGGCAUGAAUCCAAAACUCAAGACAUGAUUCAAGAGUCUCUACUACCUCAAUAUAAUCCAUUUACAUCAUUCAUUUGAGGAUAAGAUUUUGUUUCUACACAAAAGUCCAAAAAUUCACUUUGUUAGGCAAAAGUCAACUGUAUGGGAUCACCUUUGACUUUUAAGGUUUUUGGUCAAAAAAUGACUUUCAAAGAUCAAUAUCAUCAAUAUAUGGAUGUCAAAGUCAUUUCACCAAAGAAAUUCAAAGAAAUUCAUCAAGGAGCAAAAAGUCGGGAAUUAGGGUUUUUGAAGGCAUGGUGAGAACUCAAAAUUUCACCUACACAACUCAAAAAACUUCCAACAUGAAAGUUGUAGAUCAUGCAAAAUAAAACAACAUCUUACAAAGGAACUUUUUUCAAAAGAUCAAUCAUUUAUGAAGUUUUGGAAAUUUUGAAGUUUAGGUCAUAAACACUUAGAAAUUUUUCUAAGUGUUUUAACCUAGUUU